rnacentral:rRNA from 1 species
UACGUAGGGUGCAAGCGUUGUCCGGAAUUAUUGGGCGUAAAGAGCUCGUAGGCGGUCUGUCGCGUCGGACGUGAAAAUCCAGGGCUCAACCCUGGGCCUGCGUUCGAUACGGGCAGACUAGAGUUCGGUAGGGGAGGCUGGAAUUCCUGGUGUAGCGGUGAAAUGCGCAGAUAUCAGGAGGAACACCGGUGGCGAAGGCGGGUCUCUGGGCCGUAACUGACGCUGAGGAGCGAAAGCAUGGGGAGCGAACAGG